AGCCUCUGACCCUGGCUUACCCUCAUCCCUGGCCUCUGACCGCUGCAUGUCAGUGGCACCACACACACCCAGUUGUGACAACCUAGUGGGGUCUCUAGACCUUGUAAAUGUCCUGGGGAGAGAACCGCUGGUUUAGAGCCUUCUCUGUGACAAGCACUGUGCUAGGAGCAUCAUUAUGUUUGUGGAGAACAUGCUGGGACCAAGGAGAGAGCCCUGCAGCCCACCCGCAGUUACUACUUGACAGCUGCCCUCAGCAUGGAGAUUGGUCGGCUGGGAGUCCAAGCUCAGGCUCACCAGGUCUACCAGCCCUGUAGCCCUGUCAAGCCCCAGCGCCUGCCUGGACUUUAGUUGUGUGUUGAUUUCUCUUAACUCAGUCUGUCUUCACCGUUUAAGUUCCAAAACCUUUGCCUUGGUAGGAAAGACAGGAGUAAAACGGGAGUUUUGCAGUUCUGCUUUCUCACUGUCACCUGUGAACCGCCCACUCUGCCACAAGCACCAGCUUGUCCCUUCCUCUUCGUAUUCACGUGAAACUACUUAACCAAAGCCCCUUCUAUUGUCCUGGGGAUAUUCGCAAGCCUAAGCACAUUCUCCCAACACCCAGCUUACAGGCUGGGGGUGGAGCCUCUGUUGCUGCCUGCCAGGAGGCUUCUUUUGCCCUUUGCCCUUUUUGCCUCUGAGGAAUGAAUUAUUUGUGUAUUCUCAGAAUUUGUAAAAGUCUCCCAUCUUUCUUGAGUCAUCUUCCUGUUUCUAGAGUUUCCAGCUCUGCUUGUCCUGAAAUCUCCUUCCUAAAGUCUAUAAACACUCAUUUUAAUAUUAAAUAUUUAUAUACUAGUAGAGACAGACUAAACACAGAACAUAUGACUCCAAACCCAGAGUAGGAUUAUCCACUCUAUUACUACUACAUCUCCAGGUUUCCAUAUUUACUUUCCCGUUUAUCACAUUAUCUUAGUUUGAGUCCCUCCAGAUACAGACCUAUGAGAAGGAUUUGAGUGUAGGUCAUUUUUUGAAAAGUGAUCCCAGGAGACAUGGGCAAGGGAGUGGAGAAGUGAGGCAAGAAAGGAAGGGAGCUCAUGGAAUGUGUGUUAUCAUGCCCGCGUUUCCACUGUGGGCAAGGAAAGUUUAAUCCCAGUGGGAGCCCUGGGAGGCCCAGGAGCUGCCCCACAGAAGGGAAAGGAGGCUGGAGGUCGAUUCGCCAAAUCCCCGUCCUCGGUGUUUGUGGGCACUUUCCGAGGCAUUAGCUCUGCCUCUGUGGCUUGCCCUGCCUGGGCUUCAUGCCAAGACUCAGGUGCUCCCAGGACACAGGAAAGAGUGUGGGAUGUGGGCACAGACCUAGUCUUCAGCCAUGUUCUGGGUUGACCAUAUGUCCUCAGGUUCCUUUCUUGUCCAUUUCAACAGCCAGGCUUUGGGGGACCAGAAUUAAGGAGUCACUCUCCUUCCUCUGUGUUCUGGGAGAUUACAUUGUCAACAGGGCCUGAACUCCACAUUUAGUGGACUGGAUCUCCGUUAUGGGUCUGGAGAUCCUCUUCACCCCGAGCCUGCUGCUGUGCAAAUUCGGUGAGGGUGUCAGCCAAGGCUCGCCAUCUCCAUGCUCUGCCUGGGACCAAGGUGGGGAGAGGGGUGUGCAGUAAACAGGGGGUCCUGCUUCUCCCUGCUCAGCACCUCAGAGGGACCUCAGGGGCAUUGGGUCGGGCUUCUUUGCCCUGUGUGGCAGCACACCACAGGAGAUGCACCCCUCUCAGUGGGCAGCCUAGGGCCACGCACUCACCCCUGCAUCUUAGGACAAGUGCACUGUGCCCCACCCUCACAGAGGACCCUGCCUCUCUGACCAGCAUCGGUGUCCCAGCCUGGCAGGGACGCUUGCUGUUUUUCUCUGCCAAGACGGCUCUUCUCUUUGAAGAAUUAAGUGUCCCUUCCCCAUCAUAUAUGUCCCCUGUUGGGAGGUGAGGAAUGGCUUCACCCACCCCAAACCAGGGUGUUCUCAUGACCAGGCUCAGCCUAUCAGAAUGCCCCAGCCCCAGGAUUCUCAUGUGUAUGAACAUGCAAGCAAGGUCACUCAGAGCCCUUUCCAGAAUGGAUGUGCACAAAUUAGGAGAGAAAAAUGCCUUUCCCCCGGGGGUUGCCAGGGAGCUAACUAGACAUGGCUGUGACAGGCGAAUAUGUCUGCCAGCCGCUCCCCAUUCCGUGGCCCUGGUUUUCUCUCCUUUAAGACAGAGCCAUGACUGUGGGUGAAGGUGGCGGAAUCUGUGGAGUGAGCUGUAAUCUGGCCAUCCAUCCCCGCAGCGGUGGGCAGUAAACCAGGGUUGAUGCAGCAUUCGAAGCACUUAAAAACAAUGGGCCAGAUGUUCACUUAGAAAUAUGAAUGGAUCUUAAAACCGUAGCCCUGAGAGCUCACAAAAUAACAUUAAAUAUAAAUGGAGUAGUUAGACAAGAUAGCCUUCAAGGUCCCUUCCAGUCCUGUGUUUGUGAACGGUAGUGUGGAUCACAGAGGUUAGAACUAUGAACUUUGUGAUCUGUUUGCCAAGGCCCCAUCCCUCUUUGGUUGUGGGUACCUUCUGAGGUGUUAGCUCUGUCUCUUCCAGGUUGUGGGCCUCAUGCAAAAUCUCAGGUGUUCAGAGGACACAGGACUUGGUUUCAAAUCCCAGAUUUGCCAUGUACUAAUUGCAGGGACCUUGGGUGAGUCACUUAAGUUCUCUGAGCCUCCAUUACCUAACCUGAAAAGCAAGGAUAAUAAUCCCUAUAGAGUGUACUGGACAGUGUAAGAGCUCAAGAAAUGAUGGGCAGUUCUCUUGCACUGGGUUGGCAGCAUUUCUCUGGGGCGGGAGGAAGAUAGACUGUUGAGGGCUUUGCCAAUGUGGAAAAGCCCAGUAGGGAGUAGAGAUGUGGAUAUUGUCUUAAAGGGAAGUGGUGCCCUCCACAGCUUGCCUGGUGUCGCCAGGUGUCCUUCAGGCUCCCAUGGCCCUGGGUCAACCUCGCAUCUGAGAUGGGGCUCUCACCAUGCCAGGCUGAGGCUGGCCAGGCACAGGAGGUAGGUCAGGCCCGUUUUCCAGAACAGCUCUCCCUCCUCCCCCAAGGGCGUUCAUCUCCUGAGGUUGGUCUAAUUCAGGACCUCAGAUGCAGCCCUCUUUUUCCUUCCUCUUGUCACCCCUCCAGCUAUCAGAUCACAAGUAACCCAGAGAACACGUGACUGAGCCCCUGUGAUGUGCUGAGCAUAUAGCUCGGCAUGAUGCCGUGCUCUCCUCAUUGGGGUGCAGUGAACACAGGGCUGGCCCUGGUGGGCUCACCAUCUAGGGGGAGACAGACAGACUUCAUGGGCACCUACGCCUGCACCCGUGUGCAGAGUGCUGAAAUGGGGAAGCGAAAGUGCCACAGGAAUGUGAGGAAGGCCGCCUGACACACUUGGAGCGGGCUUGGGACCUUGGGAAGGCUGCCAGCCCAAAUGGCUAGCUGAAGAGCGAGCCAAGGGUGGGCUGAGGGGGAAUGAGGGAGGCAGGAAACGGGGAUACACAGGACUGAGUGUACAGGCAGAUGGAACAGAGACAAGAGAGUGCUCAGGGCUCCCGAGGGUCCAGGGGAAUGUGAAGGGAGAAGUGGCCGGAGCCGUGGCCAGGCCAUGUGCUGGGCUUGGGAAGCCAUGUCGAGAAGCCAGGGUUUGGUCUUGAGGUUGUGUGGAUCUCGGAAGAGCUUUAAGCCAGAGAGUCUCAGGGAUCGAUUUCUGUCUUAGAAAGACAACUCUGGCUGCUGCAGAAACAUUGGUUUUGAAGGGGAGAGGGCAGAAGGGAGGAAACCUGGUAGGAGGUGUCUCAGUCAUCCAGGUAAGAGUGGCACCAUGUAGGGCAGGGAGGGAGAUGCUGGACAAUGGGGAGGGGAAUGCUGAGGUGGUAGAUUGGGAGAGGGAGGUCCAGGGGAGUCCAAGAUGUCUUGCCUUGUCCUUUGGGUGGUGGGAAGCUGGGAGGAAAAUAGAUUCUUGGGGAAGGCAAGCCUGGUAGAACGUUGGUGGGCACCACGAAGGCUGUCCUGAUACCCCUUCAGUGCAGGGCCUGUUCCCAGAUGCAGGGAGUGCUGUGGGCAGGCAGCCUCCAGGGGUCAGCUCCUUUAGGGACUGCCUUGCCCAAGGUCUUGCCCCUUUCCAAGGCACCCUCUCCUUCGAUUUUGGUGUAUGAACUCCUGGCCACCGUUCCCACCUCAGGACAGCUCUGAAGGGCCAUUUUACCUUCAGUUCUUCUGUGGCAUAGGCUGGGGCUCUCUUUGGACCUGAUUGCUGGUCAGCAUCUCCCUCUGCCCCCUCCAGGUCCUUUCCCCUCCCUUCCACAGGUGACCAUCCCAAGGGCUUUCCUUGGAGGAGAGGCCCUAAAUAUCCUUCUAACUCACUAAACUCCAACUCAGAGUCUGGUUCCCAAUGACCCCCAAGGAAUCAUACCUCUUGUGUCCACACUCCUUUGCAGUGACAUGCAGAGAUGAAGUCUAUUUCUCCACCCCUUGAAUCUGAGCUGGCCUCAUGCCUUGUCUUGCUUUGACAAGGAGAAUGUGUAGAAGUGACUUUCUGGGACUCCAAAGUCCAGACUCAAGUGGACUUGCAAGUUUCACUUUUGCUCUUGGAACCCAGCUGCCACGUAAAAAGUCCAGGCUGUCCUGUUGGAGGAAGACUGUGUGGAGGAGAACUGAGGCCCCCAGCCGACAGCAGACAGCAUGACCCCAGACAUGUGAGUGGGCUCACCUUGGAUCCUCUAGCCCCAGGUGGGCCACUCCAGCCAACACAACAGGGAGCAGAGAUAAGCGUUCCCCCUGAGCCACCCAAAUUCUGACUCACAGAAUUGUGAGUAAUAAAAUGAUUGUUACGUGAAGCCCCUAAGUUUUGGGGCGGCUUGUGAUCAGCAACAGAUAAGUAAAGCUGCAUGGCUGCACCAGCAGGAAAGGCCCAUGGCUCAUGAUCAAGUAGGGCAGGCACCCAUGCAUUAGAAAACCUCGGAGGGACUGGCCUUCCUGCCAGCUACCACAGGGUUAAAUGCAGCUUUUAUCCCCCAAGGAUGAGGCUCAGGCUGUUUUGUCAUCCUGGAGCCCAUCACUGCUCAUCUCAUCUCCACUCCUGGAACAGGGAAAUGCCAGUGUUAUUACCUCUUAAGCCUCUCUGUGUCUGUAGAGAGCAGUGCCUCACUGCCAAAGGAGCAAAUGAGGCCCAGCUUUGUGCAGAAACAUUCAUUGUCCUGCGCUGCUCCAGGCAGAACCCCAGCAUAUAUUUCCCUUCUGUGGGAGCUGGCUCAGACUGCAUCCAUCUCACGAGCUCAUUAUUCAUCUGAUUAUUUUCAUGCCGUCCCAGUGGGAAAUGAAAGCCAUCAAUAAAUCACACCAUUGCUGCAGAUUAUAUUAAACGACCUGGGCAGAAUGCUGGCUGUGCCAGUCUCUGUGACCAUGAGGGCCAGGGCCACUUGUGCAAGGUCCUCCUCCCGGGCUGAAGAACACUUGCUCUGCUUUCACCCCAGACAUGAAGCCACCUCUCCAUUGCCCUUGCUAUCCUUCGUGUGAUUAAAAUCCAUGAGCACAGAAGCCCUGGCCAUGUCAGAAGGCCUGAGUUCAGCCUCUGCGUUAGCUGUGUGACUUGGGGCUGGCUUCUUGGCCUCUCUGAAGCUUGGGGCUCCUCAUCUGUGAAACAUCCAGAAAUCCUUGUUGUGAGGACAAAAUGAGAAAAUGAAUGUGAGAUUUGCACUCUGAGAAGUGCAUAUGUGCACACGGGUGGCAUCCUAUGGUCUUUAUUUCAGAAUAACCGUGACACGUAGAGGGUACCAUGGGAGAGACGUGCUAGAUUGGACAUUGAAGAGCCAUGAGCAAUCACGUACGAUUUCUUAACUUUAGAUCCUCAUGUUUCAAAUGGACCCAGUAGUAUUUGCCCCAUCAAUUUCAUAGAGCUAUUGCGAGGCUCAAAUCAAAUAACAGUUAGGGGAGCCCUUCGGCAAAGUAUUAAGUUGUACAAAUGUAAGCUGCCUUACUGAAUCAUUUCUUCUCUGAACUCUGUUGUUUUGUUUUGUCUGUUUUGCUUUUACCCAUCUUCCUAUUUCUCUGGUUUUCAGUAUUAUUGUGAAUCUUCCCCAAGACAUUCUAAGAUAAUCAAGAAAAUUUGAUCCAGUUGGUUUUUUUGGAAGGAGAAAGCAACUGCUAUUAUUGAGUACUCAUUCCAUUUCAAGCUUUCCAAUAUGUUACCUCAUUUAACAGCCCUCUAAAUGGACAUUAUUUGUCUGUUUUCCUAAGGGAGGGGACUGGGACUCAGAGAGGCCAAGUAUCUGCUCAAAGUCACAGAACGGGAAUUUGAGCUCAGUUCUGUUCCAUCACAUCACACUGGAGACUCAAGAGCACUGUUUUUCUUUCAUUAGAGAAACUUACCCAUAUUUUCACCGCCCCCCCCACUUUUGACCUUUCUUCUCUGUCACAAUUAAGACUCCUUUAGUUAAAACUCUUUGAUGGAUUCAAGGGCCAUGUGAAGUUUUUGAUAGUCCAGACAAUCAUUUUUUCGUGGUGAUGAAAAAAAACAAUAUGAUGAGCUGAUUCACGAGGUGGAAGAACUUUCCCAUGGAUGCGUUACAUCCAAGUGCCUCUGCACCAAGGAACCAUUUCAGGAGAGCCACAGUCUCUAUGGAAGGUUUGAGAACGUGAGAAUGUUGUCUUUUUUAAACAAAGGAUGGACUGAUCACUUUAGGAAGAGAAUUGGUUAGCAUAUCUACUGGGUUCAGGAGAGCCUCGGAAGUAACACCUUCCUACCCUACCCUAGUUUCUGAAUGUCCUGAGAAAUACAGCAAGAGAAUAAGGCAUAUAAACACCAAACUAGCUCCUUUAUGAUUGAACUUGAUAUUUGGGCUUUCUAACCUCAUAUUUGGAUAGAUGUACCCACCUGAAAUAUCGGCUUGGGAAUUUUCGCUCUUGGAGGAGUAUAACAGAAGAUGUGCUUCCUUAGGGCAACCUGUGCCCAAGAGAAAGUGCAGAAGAGGCUGGACUGCACACGCCCACUUUCUCUUUUCUAAUGCUCCAAUCUGAGUGAGGCCAAAAGUCUUACAAAGAAUGGUGUCCCUCCAUGCAGAAUGAGACAUGAGGGGGGAAUAAGCUCCCCCCUGCACCCCCCACCCUCGCCGCCAAACAAUGACAUUGGAGUUUGAGGAAAACAGAAGACUAGCUAGAGCAUUGUAGAAUUUUCUAGAAAAUAUUGUUUUUAAUUGUUGACGUGGAGAGCGGUCCAGAAUGAGACUUUUAGGUUGAUUAAACAGGGAUCAAGGCAUAGAAGAAGAAGAGGGCAAAUGAAGUUUCUUCCUCAGAAAUUACUACCUAAUAAAUGCCAGAGACAUUCUUGUAAACUGAAUAGGCAGUGAAAAAUGGUUGAGACAGAGGACCCCAAUUCGGGGCACCUGUUGGAAGUCCUAAUAAAAAGAUCGCCCAAGUUUGAUUCUGAAGGCUGUACUAGGAGAGGGAGAAAAUACCUUUGGCCCAAACUUUAUUUGACUCAUGUUUCAAGAGCUGGUUUAUUCCAUGCAGAAAAAUUCCACCAAAAAGCAUUUAUGGCAUAGCUUUGACGCUAAAUGAUUGAUUUAGUCUGAAUGAUACAUGUUUGUAAAAGCAACUAUAGUGAUGCCUGGUAAUGAAGGACUAGGUAAUUUGGAUUAGCUCUCCCACUUAGCACAGUAAGAAAAGCCAGACACAAUAUUAUUUUUAAAAAUCUGCUCGAAGACUUUAGUCAGCUAACAUAAUGGUGAAGAGUAUUAAGGAAGAACAGAACUUAUGAGAGCUAAAUUCAGAAUUUGGGGCUCUCAGAGUAUGUUCUCUGACCAACAUUGAAUUAAAUGAGAAAUCAAUAAUAAUAAGAUAUCUAGAAAAACACCUACGUAUUCAAAAUUAAACAAUGUAGUUCUAUAUGAUCCCUGGGUCAAAGAAGAAAUCCCAAGGAAAUUAAAAAGUGUUUCCAACUGCAGGAAAAUGAAAAUACAAUAACUAAAUUUGUGGAUUUAGUUAAACCAGUGUUUAGAGGGAAAUGUAUAGAUUUAAAUGCUUAUAUUAGAAAAGAUGAAAGGUCCAAAACAAAUGCCCAAGUUUAUCCUUUAAAAGCUAAGGGAAAACAAAAAAAGAGAGGCAAAGUAAACCCAAAGUAAGUAGAAUUUAAAAAAGAUAAACGCACAAAUUAAUAUAGAAAAGAUCAAAUAACGCAAAAAAUUAACAAGGUCAAAAGUUGUUUCCUUGAGAAGAUUAACAAAAUUGGUAAAUCAAUCCCUAGCUAUGGUGAUCAUGAAAAUACAGAGAGAAGACGAAUGACUAAUAUCAAGAAUAAAUAAAGCAUUAUUACCACAGACAUUAAAAAGUAAGGGGGUGUUAUAAAUAACUUUAUACCAAAAAAAUCAAUGCCAUAGAUGAAAUGGACACAUAACUUGAAAAAUAUAGUUGCCAGGAAAUGUCACAAAAUGAAACAGAAACUCAGAAUAGCCCUGUAUCUAUUAGAUAAAAUUGAUUGGUUGUUAAAACAACAAGAAGAACAAAACUUCCCGGAAAUAAAACUCUGGGCUCUAAUAUCUUUACUGGUAAAUUCUAUAAAAAAUUGAAGGAUGAAAUAAAAUAAUACCAAUCUUAUAUGAAAUCUCUUGGAAAAUAAAGAAUGUGGGACCACUAUCUGACUAAAUUUUUGAAGUAAGCAUAACCCUCAUACCAAAAAUCUAUGCAAGAUAUGGCAAAAAUAAAGUAAAAUAAAAUUAGAUAAAUACCCCUUAUGAACAGAGAUACAAAAGUUCUUAACAAAAUUUUAGCAAAUUGAAUCCAGAAGGCUAGUGCCCCUGUGUGGCUGCCAGGUCUGAGGGUUUGCAGCAGGGGUCGCUCUUGGUUCAGCAGGCAGGGAAAAGUGAGGACAAGCUGGGGUCCAGAGGGACCCCUGCAUAUGUCUGCCACCACAUCUAACCGUGAUGACCUUCAGAAAGGAACAGCUGCUGUUUCACUUCUACCUUCCAAAUCUAUAUAAGAAAAAAUUGGGGGUUAGGAGAGGCGGACAACUGUACCUGACUUCUUCUACAGGUAACUCAGGGAUUCUGGGAAGCCUAAUUUCGGUUUAGACGAGCUGGCACAUUCCAAACCCUGAAAUCAGCAGAGCAAUGACCUGCAGGGCAGGUUGAUGCUAGUGUCAUCGAGGGGGCACAUGGGGACUUCUGGGGGGCUUGCGACACUUCUAGCCUUGGGUUAUGGCUACGUGGAUGCUCACUCUGUAGCUGUACAUUUUUGUUUUGUGAACUGAACGUAUGUAAUAUUACAAAAUCAAACUAAAAAAAAAAAAAAGCAACCGUGACACGUCUCUUUCCCACUCUACCACCUACUUUGAAACAACUAGGCCAUUCUGUGCUGAUUCUUUCUGGAGAGGAGAUGAUAGCGAAAAUGCAAAGAAAAAAUAGACUUUUCUCCCUGACAUUUUGCAUUUCAAAACUUAAGCUCUUCAGGUAAUGGAAAAUUGCACAGCCACUCUACUGUAUAGACAAAUGUCAGUAGUGGACUUGGAUUAAAGGAAAACCCGGACACAGGCAUUACGUGGGUAAAUCAAACAGUGUUUAUUUAUCUAAAGUAAAAAGAUGGAGGCCAUGAAGUCAGGACACAGAGUGGAGAGACUAGCAACGUUAUUUGGGACAGGCAGAGGUGACCACGCAAUAGGCUCACACUUGUGUAUGAUAAUGUCUGAGCAAGGGUGGCAGCAGACCUUUUUGAAGCUUGACUGCCCCCAUUUGUGCCAGCUUUGUGUCCUGAAGAGAAGUGCAGUUCUAUCUACUAAGACUGGUGCUGUUGUCUUUCUCUACUUCAUCGAGGAGGGUAAUGCCAGGUUUAAAACUGGUGCAGUUCUGCAUAUGGGUGAGUGUGAUUAUGUGCCAGGACCACAUCACCUGAGCCAGAAGCUCUCAUCAGUCUCAGGUGGCACUAUGUGCUACGUGACUCAAAGGACAUAUGGUAUAAUGCAGUCCAUGUGGGCACAAAUGCAGUCUCUUUUGCCAUCCUUCACCUCCCCACAUCACAACAGCCCAGUCUCCAUGCCCAGGUGUCUCUGGGAAUCAUGCUAACAGGCCCUAGGACCAGGGGGAGGACAUAGUGCCAAAGUCAUUGCAACAGGAAGAAAAUAUCACGGGCAAAAGCAAGACUUCUGCCACCCCUGUCCUCCAAACUCCAGAUAAGUCUUCCUUCCCUUCCCUAGGCUGGGGUUAUGCAGAGUUGAGAGAUGUGGUAUUAUAAGCUGUCAUCUCUCUGCUCCUAAAAGCUCUUCUAUACUCUGCUUUAUGACGGUGAAGCUGUAACUUUGCAACUCAGUUUCCUUGUUGCCAACAGCUCCCUGCCAGGUCCCGCUGAUAAGGAACACUAAAGGGAGACCGGAAGACAGGAGGAUGGAGAAGGGUCAUACUCCUGUGUAUUUGCUGUUGCUGUCAGCGUUACCCUGGCAGCAGAGUUGGGUCCAGUUUCCAGUGUUUCUCUAUGAUCCCGCAAUCGACCCAUCACACCCCAUCAGAGGUAACUUAGACCUUCCCUCUGGGCUCUUGUGGUUCAAUGGCAUUAGCUCAUGCCCCCUCCUCAGAGAUUUGAGUCCCAGCUCUGUGAGACCCCUCUUCCAGGGUGCUGAGUUCUGAUCUCUUCCCUUUGUUCUCCCAGUCCUAGGAGUGGUAGCUGUUUCCUGCAGUUACAUGUUUGCAUGACAUCAGUGUUCUUUUUCUGCCUUUUCAGUCCUUUGAUAGCCGUCCAGCCAAUUCCCUCUAUUAAAUCCUCUCAUUGGCUGCUAAUAGGUACGGGUUUUCUCUUUGGUGUGAUGAAAAUUUUCUGGAAUUAGAUAGUGGUAAUGGUUGCACAACCUUGUGAAUAUGCUAAAACCCACUGAAUUGUACACUUUAAAAGGGGGAAUUUUAUGACAUGUGAAGGAUACCUCAUUAAUAUUAUAAAUACUUUAUGUUGAAUUACCUGACUGGAAACUGAUUAAUAGAGCAUUAAUCAAGGAGAGCGUGGUGUCUAAUUUUAUGUGUCAACUUGGCUGGGCCACAGUACCCAGGUCUGUGGUCAGACGUUAUUCUGAGCGUUUCUGUAGGGGUGUUUUGGAUGAGAUUAACAUUUAAAUCGGUGGACUUGGAGUAAGAUAGAUUGCCCUCCAAAAUGUGGGUAGGCUCAUGCAGUCGGGUGAAGGCCUGCACAGAAUAAAAAGACAAGUCUUCCCCAAGCAGGGGAGCAUUCUCCAGCACACUGCCUUUGGACUUCAUCUGCCCAUCUCUUCCCAUUUCUACAUCAGACAGCCUUCGGACCUGAACUAGAACAUCUGCUCUCCUGGGUCUCCAGCCUGCCAGCCCAGCCUGCAGAUUUUGGACUUGCCAGCCUCCAGAAUUAUUAAAAUGGCACCGGCUAUGAACCAGGAAAGGGCCCUCACCAGACCAUGUUGGUGCCUUGAUCUUGGACUUUGCAGCCUCCGAAACGGUGAGAAAUAAAUUUCUGUUGUUUAUAAGUGGUAUUUUGUUAUAGCAGCCUAAACAGACUAAGACAUCAUCUUUUUGCUCCUUCUUUUCCUUCUCCCCUAUCUAUCUAUCUAAUCAUUCAACAAAAUACUUACUGAGCUCCUACUAUCUUCCAGGUCAUAGGAAAAGCCCAAGACAAGCGUUUUUGAAGACCCCAGGGACCAACACUUGAAUAACCUCCCAGAACUUAUUAAAAAUGCAGAUUCCAGACCCCUCUUCCAGGAAUUCCGAUCCAGCAGCUACUAUUCAUUAAGCACUUCCUAGGUACUAGGCAAGAUUCACACGGUGUUGAGGGCACAGAACUCCCUAGAGCUGGUCAAAGAGCCGCCUUGUUUGGACACAUCACCAGCUCAAGUCUCAAGAUGGCAGGGGGGCCAGAACACUUGACUGCAGAAAAGAAUUUAUCCUCCCAAACCGUGGCAUGAAUGAGUAAAGAUGUAAGUACAAGGGCAUUCAUUGUACCAUGGCUUACAAGAGCAAACAUUUGUACAAAUUUAAAUUUCCACGGCAGAGCAUGGUAUAUCUGUGUAGUAGAAUCCUCUUCAGCUCUUAACAAGAAGGUAGAUCCGUGUAGCAGGAGGUAACAUUUUUCUGAGUAUUUGCUGGGCACUGUUCUGAGUGCUUCCCAUCACGACCUUGUUUAACUCACUCAGGUCUUCAUAAAGUAGAUGAUGUUGUCAUCAUCCACACGUUGCAAAAGAGGCACGGAGAGGUUAUUAACCUCCACAAGAUCACACAGCUGUGAAAAGUCAGAGCUGGUAUUUGAACCGGGCAGUGAGGUUCCUGAGACACCAACCAGGAAGGAGGGGUCACUGAUGAAAGUUGUGUUAAGUGAUAAAGCAAGUUGCAGAAAAAUAUAGCAUAACUACAUUUUGGUGAAAAUACAUGUGACUAUAUAUAUAAUAUGUACUAUUUAUAUGUAUGUUGCAUUACAAUAAUUAUGGAAAGUUUAAUUUGGUGGGAGUGAUUGAAGGGGCAGAUUUAUUUUCUUCUGAAAAAACGGUGGGAUUAAAAAAAAUAUAACUAGCUCCCUUCUGUUUUUAUUUUUAUUUUAUUACCCAUGCCCACUUGACUUGCAUGAAAUAAAAAUGGCCCAGUCUGGUAACAAAAAUACAUCCUUGAAAAAUAACAUAUCCUGUUCACACCAGUAAUGAAAAAUCCCAGUUUGGGAAAUACAGCUUUUGAUAGUUAUUAUUUAGCAGUAGAUAAAUUACUUUAAAUAAAGGCUUUAAAAAUGAUUUAAAAGGUAGUAUGUCAUCGUUGUAGAAAAGGUGGAAUUAUAGAGCUGAGAGAGUGAACUGGUCAUCUAGUGGGUUCCAGGAAGCUGGGACCUCCUGAUCUGUGGUCCGUGCUGCAUUUAUUUCUCUCUUUGUUCUCUUCCCAGCAUCCUGUUUCCAUGACAUCCUACUCCAAUCCCCCAAACCCAGAGCAAGCCUGGUCAGGGGUGGGGAGUCACCAUGCAGUUGAAGAGCCCUGACCCAACCAAGUGAUGUCACAGGAGCUGGUCCAGGACGGAGAUCCUGUCCAUUUGCUGGUGGCCAGAGUCACAGGGUCACAAGACCUCCAGCUGCUUGACUCAAAAGGGCGCCCAGGGCACAGCAGGCACUUGGGCUCUGUGGUUCUGUCUGGGGUGAUUUUGCUUCCUGAGGAUAUCCGGCAAUGUCUGGAGACACUUUUAGUUCUUACCACUGGGGAGUGGGUGCUACUGGAAUCCAGGGAGGAGUGGGCAAGGAAGGCUGCUAAACAUACUAUAGACCAAGAAUUACCCAGCCCCAAAUCUCCAUAAGGCUGAGAUUUCAAAACCUGCCCGCCAUUAGAUCCCCUGGUCGGUCUUGCAGCAGGAGGGAUGGGGUCCUGAGGGUCCCACCUGUGGAAGUUCCUUGGCCGGUAUGCCCCUGUUCUAGAGGAGAGGCAGGUUUCUCCAAGGCCAGGUGGAGAGAACCAGCCCAGUCCACCCCAGGCGCUGCAUUUCCCAGGAGCUGGGAGGAAUUAAGUUAUAAUAUACGGACUAACAUUGAUACAGUGUGUGACAGGUGACAGAGUUCUUCCUCUGUGCUGGGGUUCAGUACAGGCUGGGGUCCUCUGCACUGCCGCCCAUAUUGUUGGGGUCCUGGACAGGUUGGGGGGAAGGGGAAAGGCUACAUCUGCUUCUCAUUCUUUCAUGAAACGAGUUCCUUGUCAUAAACUCCCCCGUCUCCCUUUGAUCACAACUCUGACGGUUCAAACCCUUCAUGUUAUUGCAGGUUCCACUUGUGGGUAGGAGGCCUUCCCCAGCAGAUGUGAAGGCAAACAUACUCUUUCUCCCCAUGCUGUGGUAUCCUGGAGACUGGUGAGCCGGAGCUAGGAUGCCAUGACAUCAGCUCCUGGACCUGAGCUGGCACAGAGCGUGCCCAGGCAGUGUUUGCCGAGAGGAUGAAUAGAAGAGGGUCACCUUCCUUUUGACUCCUUAGGGUGAGUCUUCAGCCUUCUUUGGAAGAAGAUUUGGAAGUGAGGAAGAGAAGGCUAUGGGUCAGGAAAGCAAUUGAGUGGCUCACAGAAUCCCGAGGAAGAAGAACACUCGGACCUUCUAAAGGCACAGGGACAAAAGGAAGAACCACAAGCAAAAUCACUCCCCAGGGCUUCCCUGGUGGCGCAGUGGUUGAGAGUCCGCCUGCCGAUGCAGGGGACACGGGUUUGUGCCCCGGUCCGGGAAGAUCCCACAUGCCGCGG